UGACGGUACCUGACUAAGAAGCCCCGGCUAACUACGUGCCAGCAGCCGCGGUAAUACGUAGGGGGCAAGCGUUAUCCGGAAUUACUGGGUGUAAAGGGUGCGCAGGUGGUAAGGCAAGUCAGGAGUGAAAUGCCGGGGCUCAACCCCGGAACUGCUCUUGAAACUGUUUAACUGGAGUGCAGGAGAGGUAAGCGGAAUUCCUAGUGUAGCGGUGAAAUGCGUAGAUAUUAGGAGGAACACCAGUGGCGAAGGCGGCUUACUGGACUGUAACUGACACUGAGGCACGAAAGCGUGGGGAGCAAACAGGAUUAGAUACCCUG
rnacentral:rRNA from 1 species